rnacentral:rRNA from 1 species
AGCAGGCGCGCAAAUUACCCAAUCCCAAUACGGGGAGGUAGUGACAAUAAAUAACAAUAUGGGGCUCUUACGGGUCUCGUAAUUGGAAUGAGUACAAUUUAAAUCUCUUAACGAGGAACAAUUGGAGGGCAAGUCUGGUGCCAGCAGCCGCGGUAAUUCCAGCUCCAAUAGCGUAUAUUAAAGUUGUUGCAGUUAAAAAGCUCGUAGUUGAAUUUCGGAGUUUGUCGGUUGGUCGGGCUUCACUGUCCGCACUGGCCUGAUGGAUUCCUACCUUCUGAAUAACCAGCAUGCUAUUAAGUUAGUGCGUUGGGGAAGCAGAGCUAUUACCUUGAAAAAAUUAGAGUGCUUAAAGCAGGCUUUUGCUUGAAUAGAUUANCAUGGAAUAAUAAAAUANGACGGCAUGGUUCUAUUUUGUUGGUUUCUA